AACGAACGCUGGCGGCGGGCCUCAUACAUGCAAGUCGAGCGCGUGUAGCAAUACACGAGCGGCGUACGGGUGAGUAACGGGUGGAUAACCUGCCUCUAGGGUGGGGGAUAACGGCUGGAAACGGCCGCUAAUACCGCAUACGGUUGCCGCGUCCUUGGACGCAGGCAAAGAAAGGGGCUUCACGGCCUCGCCGGGAGAUGGGUCCGCCUCCGAUUAGCUAGUUGGUAGGGUAAUGGCCUACCAAGGCUUGAUCGGUAGCCGAACUGAGAGGUUGAUCGGCCACACUGGAACUGAGACACGGUCCAGACACCUACGGGUGGCAGCAGUAGGGAGUAUUGCGCAAUGGGCGAAAGCCUGACGCAGCCACGCCGCGUGGAUGAUGAAGGCC
rnacentral:rRNA from 1 species